rnacentral:rRNA from 1 species
UCGCUAUGGGAUGGCCCCGCGGUGCAUUAGCUAGUUGGUAAGGUAACGGCUUACCAAGGCAAUGAUGCAUAGCCGAGUUGAGAGACUGAUCGGCCACAUUGGGACUGAGACACGGCCCAAACUCCUACGGGAGGCAGCAGUAGGGAAUCUUCCACAAUGGACGCAAGUCUGAUGGAGCAACGCCGCGUGAGUGAAGAAGGUUUUCGGAUCGUAAAGCUCUGUUGUUGGUGAAGAAGGAUAGAGGUAGUAACUGGCCUUUAUUUGACGGUAAUCAACCAGAAAGUCACGGCUAACUACGUGCCAGCAGCCGCGGUAAUACGUAGGUGGCAAGCGUUGUCCGGAUUUAUUGGGCGUAAAGCGAGCGCAGGCGGAAGAAUAAGUCUGAUGUGAAAGCCCUCGGCUUAACCGAGGAACUGCAUCGGAAACUGUUUUUCUUGAGUGCAGAAGAGGAGAGUGGAACUCCAUGUGUAGCGGUGGAAUGCGUAGAUAU